rnacentral:rRNA from 1 species
CCCUUAGAUGUUCUGGGCUGCACGCGCGCUACACUGAAGCGUUCAACGAGUAUUUCACCUUGCCCGGGAGGGUUGGGUAAUCUUUUUAAAGCGCUUCGUGAUGGGGAUAGAUUAUUGCAAUUAUUAAUCUUCAACGAGGAAUUCCUAGUAAGCGCGAGUCAUCAGCUCGUGCUGAUUACGUCCCUGCCCUUUGUACACACCGCCCGUCGCACCUACCGAUUGAAUGGUCCGGUGAAAUCUCGGGACGGCGGCUCGGUCGCUUGCGUCCGACUGCUGAAACUUGAUUAAACCAUAUCAUUUAGAGGAAGGUGAAGUCGUAACA